rnacentral:rRNA from 1 species
ACUCCUACGGGAGGCAGCAGUGGGGAAUCUUGCGCAAUGCGCGACAGCGUGACGCAGCAACACCGCGUGGGGGAAGAAGGCCUUCGGGUUGUAAACCCCUUUCAGGAGGGACGAAGGCCGGCCGGUGAAUAGCCGUGCCGGCUGACGGUACCUCCACAAGAAGCCCCGGCUAACUACGUGCCAGCAGCCGCGGUAAUACGUAGGGGCAAGCGUUGGUCCGGAAUCAUUGGGCGUAAAGCGCGCGUAGGCAGGCCCGAUAAGUCCGCUGUCGAAAGUCAACGGCUCAACAUGUUGAAUGCCGUGGAUACUGUCGGGCUAGAGUCCGGAAGAGGCAAGUGGAAUUCCUGGUGUAGCGGUGGAAUGCGCAGAUAUCAGGAGGAACACCCGAUAGCGAAGGCAGCUUGCUGGGACGGUACUGAC